rnacentral:rRNA from 1 species
GACGAACGCUGGCGGCGUGCUUAACACAUGCAAGUCGAACGGAAAGGCCCCUUUGGGGGUACCCGAGUGGCGAACGGGUGAGUAACACGUGGGUAACCUUCCCUUUACUUCGGGAUAACUUCAGGAAACUGGGGCUAAUAACGGAUAGGAAUCCUUGCUGCAUGGUGGGGGUUGGAAAGCUUCGGCGGUUUUGGAUGGACUCGCGGCCUAUCAGCUUGUUGGUGGGGUAGUGGCUUACCAAGGCUUUGACGGGUAGCCGGCCUGAGAGGGCGACCGGCCACAUUGGGACUGAGAUACGGCCCAGACUCCUACGGGAGGCAGCAGUGGGGAAUAUUGCACAAUGGGCGGAAGCCUGAUGCAGCAACGCCGCGGGCGGGAUGACGGCCUUCGGGUUGUAAACCGCUUUCAGCAGGGGCGAAGCUUGUGGUGACGGUACCUGCAGAAGAAGCACCGGCUAACUACGUG